ACAAGAAUUUUAAACCCACAAAAUAGGGAAAAGAAAAAAAACUAGGAGGAAAAUAAGCAACUAAGGGUAAAAAUACAAACCUUAAAAAAAGACAACUAGAAGAUAAAAAUAAGAUAGAAAAUGGUUGAAAAUGUCAAGUAAAGGUAUUUCAGAUAGAAAAUGCAAAAAGCUAAGAUAACUAUUAGAUACAGACAUAUACUUAUUAAAGCAAAAAGAGGGAAUUGGAAAGGGGUAUAUAUCCCCCAAAGAUAAACUUAAAAUAACGCUUUUUACUCUAAACUUUUUAAAUUUGGAUUCAUCAGGACUUAGUGCUGCGGAAAGGCAUAUGUAUCCAAAAAAUGUACAUAAGCCUAAAGUACUUUGGAAAGAUAUUCUAACAGGACAAUGGAAAGGUCCUGACCCAGUGAUUGUCUGGAGUCGGGGGUCUGUUUGUGUUUUUCCACAGGGAGAACAGCAGCCCAUUUGGAUUCCAGAGAGAUUAACUAAAACAGUUUCUACAGAUCGAAAAGAAGAUGAUUUGACUCAAAUCCAUAACAGCUGAUAUCCAGAACUCCAGCUUGGCCAUUCUUACAUCUGCGACAGUGAUUAACCAGGAUGCUUUUUUCAAUAGCUAUUUUAUUAUUGCAUUUUUCCACAUCAUAAGGUUCUAUUUUUAUUUUUUGAGCUCAUACAAACCUAGGUUAAUGUUUUUCUGAUCAGUUUUAUUUUUUGACUGUGGAGUUUUUAAACAUUGCAAUGGAGAUUUCACCUAGGAUAAUGUCUCUUUAGCAUCAUUGCCAGAAUUCCUAUCUCCAUCCCAGUGCCGGUGAAGAACUCAACAAGUAAUGCUCAAUCAAAGAGUCAACUUACUUUGGGAGGAAACGGAUUUGGGGAGGAAAUGGACAUAUUGAUAGAUUCCUCUGCUUUGAACUGCUUGCAGAACUUGCCUGGACUAUGUAACUAUCGUUUGGUGCAGCAAAUUGUGGUAAUGCUGGCAUAUCUUUGCUGAUGGUGUCACUAGUGAUGCAAUUUUUCCCAAGGAGCCGUCAAUUGGCUUGGUGUCGUGGCAUUUCUGUAUCCUCCUCCCUUCUGCUAGUGAUGGUCUAAAAUUUGGGGGCCAAUGGCUUAUGCUGGACCGGUAGUCAGUGACGGGUAUGAUCCAAUUGCAGUGGUAUCAACCUAAGACAGGAGGCUGACGCCUAAAGGUCAGUUUUCCGAUGACGGGUAAGAACCAUAUGUUGAAUUGGACAACCUACCAGGCACGGUCCAUAAGCCACAUUAACCUCACUCCCCCACUGGCACCAAGGCCAAAUUUGGGGGCCAACAGAGGUGAGGCAAAGAACCUCACCCCCCCACUGGUGCAUAGACCUAUCCACAAGUAUGGCUGUAUGCUGGACCGGUAGUCAGUGACGGGUAUGAUCCAAUUGCAGUGGUAUCAACCUAAGACAGGAGGCUGACGCCUAAAGGUCAGUUUUCCGAUGACGGGUAAGAACCAUAUGUUGAAUUGGACAACCUACCAGGCACGGUCCUUAAGCCACAUUGCUUGUUGUUUAAUUAAUCAGAAGGGGGGAGAUGCUGGGAGCCAUUAGCCAAGUAGGUAUGACAAUUUCCUUGCCAGCGUACCCCAUGUUGCAGUGACAUUGAAUGUACGUGACCUUGCUCAAGGACCAAGGCAGAUUAGGGUGUUCCCGGUUUUAAGAUAAUCUUGUUUAGGGCGUUCCCAGUUUAGGUUCCAGGUUUAAGGUUUAAGAUUAUUCCUGCUGGGAAUAGGGCGUAUCCUGCUGCCUGAGUUCCCCUUGAGUUCUCACGGGAUUCAGACAGUAUAUUUUGGAGAUAGAAGCCCAGUGGAUGUGGAUUUGGGCAGAGAACGUGAAUUUGGGAGAGAAGGUGGAUUUGGGAAGAGAACGUGGAUUUCCCCAGAACGUGAUUGUAGACGGCUGGUGUGAGUUCGGGAAUAAAGAGUUGCUGUUUGAAUCUACAA